CUGUUUCGGGGGCUGAAAAGGCUAUUGCAGGUAACCUUUGUCGAUGCACAGGUUACCGACCGAUUACUGAUGCCUGCAAAAGUUUUGCAGCCGACGUUGAUAUGGAGGAUCUCGUGUUGAACUCUUUCUGGAGAAAGGGAGAGAGCAAAGACGGAAAAUUAGUAAGUUGCCUCGAUAUGAUCACAAUCACAAGAAUAUCGAAUUUCCUAUGUGUUUAGAGGAAAUCAAACAUGAUUUGUUCAUAGCUUCUGCGAAACAUAGUUGACACAAACCUACUAGUUUAAAAGAGCUUCAAAGUUUAUUGGAAUUAAACCAUGCCAAUGAAAUCAAGAUCAAAGUUGUUGUCAAUAUCACUGGUAUGGGAUAUCUCAAAGAUAAAAAAGGAUCAAUGAGGGAUUGAAAUUGGAGCAGCAGUUACAAUAUCAAAAGCUAUUGAAGUGCUAAAGCAACAAAAUAAGAGUGAUUUUAACUCGGAUUUUGUUAUGAUUCUUGAAAAGAUUGCCGACCAUAUGAACAAAGUUGCCUCGGGGUUUAUUCGUAACACAGCCAGUGUAGGUGGCAAUUUGGUGAUGGCACAGAAGAGUAUGUUUCCUUAGGAUAUCGCUACUAUACUUCUAGCUGUGGAUUCAAUGGUUCACAUAAUGACUGGUUCAAAGUUUGAAUGGCUUUUUUUGGAGGAAUUUCUGAAGAGACCGCCAUUAGGUUUGGAGAGUGUGGUUUUAAGCAUUCAAAUUCAUAGUUUGGAAACUAUUAAAAUGGAAUCUUCAGUGACAAAAAGUAGAUUUUUCUUUGAAACUUACCGAGCUUCUCCUCGGCUGCUCAGAAAUGCGCUUCCUCACUUAAAUGCUGCUUUCCUUGUUCAGGUGUCUCCAUGCAAGGAUAGUGAUGGAACCAUUAUAGAUACUUGUAGGUUGACUUUUGGUGGUUUUGAGAAUAAACAUGCAAUCAGAGCUAAAAAUGUCGAAGAAUUUUUAGCACGAAAGUUGUUAAGUGUUAGAAAUCUGUAUGGUGCCAUCAACUUGCUUACGGAUACUGCCACUGCAAUUAUACCUCGCGAUGAAACCUCAAAAAAUGCUUACCUUUCAAGUUUAGUAGUUGGUUUUCUUUUUCAGUUCUUUAACUCACUGAUUGAAAGUCCUCCCAUAAUAAACAACGGUUAUCCAAAUGGACAUACUAAUUUGCCUUCGGCUGAGACGUCUCAGAAUCAGGUUCAGCCUAACAUAUUUCCUACUUUAUGGUCGUCGGGGAAGCAAAUCCUUGAAUCAGGCAGCGAGUAUAGACCGAUCGGCGAGCCAAUCAUGAAAUCUGGCGCCGCGAUGCAUGCAUCAGGUUUGUUUAGACUCAAGUUUUGAAUUACAUUCUGAUGACAGUUUCCUUGACUAUGCAUUUUGAUUGAUAUUUCACAUAUAUGCGAGGCUGUAUUUGUGGAUGAUAUUCCAUCACCAACAAAUUGCCUACAUGGAGCAUAUAUUUAUAGUGCAAAACCAUUGGCAAGGAUAAGAUGUAUAAAACUCAGGCAAGAGUUGGAACUUGACGGAGUGAGGGGCAUCCUUUCAAGUAAAGACAUUCCUAAUGGCGGGGAGAAUCUCGGAGCAAAGAGUAUAUUUGGUUCAGAACCUUUAUUUGCCGAAGAUAUUGCUAGAUGUGUUGGUGAACGUCUUGCGUUUGUGGUGGAAAUAGAUCUUCUGACAGGAGAAACCAGAUUUUUGCAAACAUAUAUUAUUUAUGACUGUGGACAAAGUCUCAACCCAGCUGUGGAUUUAGGACAGAUUGAAGGAUCUUUCAUACAAGGGUUAGGAUUUUUCAUGCUUGAAGAAUAUAAAACAAACCUUGAUGGUUUGGUGUGCAAGAUGGCACAUGGAACUACAAAAUCCCAACAAUGGACACUAUUCCUCAACAGUUUAAUGUUGAAAUCCUUAACAGUGAGCAUCAUCAACAUAGAAUUCUCUCUUCAAAGGGUAUGUGACCUAGGACUUUUCCAAUAUUUAAGUAUUAAACUUUUGUAUGCACAUAUGU